ACGUAUGGUGCAAGCGUUAUCCGGAUUUACUGGGUGUAAAGGGGGCGUAGACGGAGUGGCAAGUCUGAUGUGAAAACCCGGGGCUCAACCCCGGGACUGCAUUGGAAACUGUCAAUCUAGAGUACCGGAGAGGUAAGCGGAAUUCCUAGUGUAGCGGUGAAAUGCGUAGAUAUUAGGAGGAACACCAGUGGCGAAGGCGGCUUACUGGACGGUAACUGACGUUGAGGCUCGAAAGCGUGGGGAGCAAACAG
rnacentral:rRNA from 1 species